rnacentral:rRNA from 1 species
UACGUAGGGGGCAAGCGUUGUCCGGAAUCAUUGGGCGUAAAGCGCGUGUAGGCGGCUCGAUAAGUCUGCUGUGAAAGUUCAGGGCUCAACCUUUGAAAGCCGAUGGAUACUGCAGGGCUAGAGUCCGGAAGAGGCGAGUGGAAUUCCUGGUGUAGCGGUGGAAUGCGCAGAUAUCAGGAGGAACACCAAUAGCGAAGGCAGCUCGCUGGGACGGUACUGACGCUAAGGCGCGAAAGCGUGGGGAGCGAACAGG